UGCCAGGUCUCUUUUGAUUUGCAAAGCAAACAGAUACCUUGUAUAUUCCUCUUGCAGCUGGCCUGGGUCUGGAGGGAAGAACUUUACAGCCAGACGAAGCAUUGUAGUCUUUGGUCUCCGUACUUGUUUAAUAACAGGUUUCAUAGGUUCCAGCCAAAUCCAAUACGACUGGAUGUUCUGGAACUCAAUUCCGAAGUAGUCCGAUUCAAUUAAAUUCAGGUGCUUGUAAACUUCUGCCAAUAAUGCCUGCCCAUAAUAUUUUGACUCAAUGUCAAGUACUUCCACCGUGUUGUCCAACAUCUUUAUCUUGAUCUGUAGGUCCCUCUCAUGUGUUUUGGCAGGCGAUAAUGCCAUUGCAGUAGAGAGAUUCUGUCCCGGCUCCAAAGUGCUCACCCCAGAGUUCUUCUGGACACCCAAACGAGAGCCAGGAGUCUGCAGGACCCGGUAUGUUCCUUCUAUCUCUCCCAUUUCUCAACACCAGGCAAAGUCCAAACGAAACCUCCCGGGGCCGCCCGCCGUCCCGCCGCACCGCAGCCUCCGCCGCGUCCCCGGCCCCGCC
rnacentral:lncRNA from 1 species